UCCUACGGGAGGCAGCAGUGGGGGAUAUUGGACAAUGGGGGGAACCCUGAUCCAGCCAAGCCGCGUGAGGGAAGACGGCCCUAUGGGUUGUAAACCUCUUUUGUCGGAGAACAAAACCCGGGACGAGUCCCGGACUGCGUGUAUCCGAAGAAAAAGCAUCGGCUAACUCCGUGCCAGCAGCCGCGGUAAUACGGAGGAUGCGAGCGUUAUCCGGAUUUAUUGGGUUUAAAGGGUGCGUAGGCGGUCUGUUAAGUCAGCGGUAAAAUUGCGGGGCUCAACCCCGUCGAGCCGUUGAAACUGGCAGA
rnacentral:rRNA from 1 species